rnacentral:rRNA from 1 species
UACGAGGGGGGCGAGCGUUGUUCGGAAUUAUUGGGCGUAAAGGGUGCGUAGGCGGUUUGGUAAGUCUGAUGUGAAAUCUAUGGGCUCAACUCAUAGUCUGCAUCGGAAACUGCCGGGCUUGAGUGUGGGAGAGGUGAGUGGAAUUCCUGGUGUAGCGGUGAAAUGCGUAGAUAUCAGGAGGAACACCUGUGGCGAAAGCGGCUCACUGGACCAUAACUGACGCUGAUGCACGAAAGCUAGGGGAGUAAACAGG